rnacentral:rRNA from 1 species
AUUGAACGCUGGCGGCAGGCCUAACACAUGCAAGUCGAACGAGUGGCGGCAGGGUGAGUAAUGUCUGGGAAACUGCCUGAUGGAGGGGGAUAACUACUGGAAACGGUAGCUAAUACAGCAUACACUCGGAAGUGCGCAGGUGGGAUUAGCUAGUAGGUGGGGUAAUGGCUCACCUAGGCGACGAUCCCUAGCUGGUCUGAGAGGAUGACCAGCCACAAUGGAACUGAGACACGGUCCAGACUCCUCCGGGAGGAAGCAGUGGGGAAUAUUGCACAAUGGGCGCAAGCCUGAUGCAGCCAUGCCGCGUGUAUGAAGAAGGCCUUCGGGUUGUAAAGUACUUUCAGCGGGGAGGCGUUACCCGCAGAAGAAGCACCGGCUAACUCCGUGCCAGCAGCCGCGGUAAUUC